UUUCAUCCCUGGGGAGCCUGGACGGACAGUCCAGAGAGGGUGAGGGAGGCUUAGCUAUUCCUGUGCUCUCCCUGCCAUGGGAGGGAGAACUGACACACCAUGAACCUCCGGAUGCUUGCAUUUCAGGUUUCCAUCUUCCUCAGAAUGAUUCCGGUUGGUGGGGUCUGGCUGUGAGUGGGACCCUGAACGUGAUCUGCCUUCUCAUCAUCACUGGUAUCGUCUGGAACAGUUUCAGGAGAAAGGGAUCAGUGACUCUGGACCCAGAUACCGUUAAUCUCAAUCUCGGAGUAUCUACGGAGCAGAGAAGAGGGCCCUGUGGCUGCAGAGCAGGCUGUGCCCCACAGCGAGGAGACAUUCCGGUCUUCUGAUGGGGUGGGUUGUCUCAGCUUCUCUACAAUUACAAGCCAGGAUUCUUACCUCAGACCACUAAUAAUGCUGCUGUUUGUCCCCC